UACAGAGGUCCCAAGCGUUGUUCGGAUUCACUGGGCGUAAAGGGUGCGUAGGCGGUCGGAUAAGUCUGAUGUGAAAUCUUCGAGCUCAACUCGGAAACUGCAUCGGAAACUAUUCGGCUAGAGGAUUGGAGGGGAGACUGGAAUUCUCGGUGUAGCAGUGAAAUGCGUAGAUAUCGAGAGGAACACCAGUGGCGAAGGCGGCUCACUGGCCCGGUACUGACGCUGAGGCACGAAAGCGUGGGGAGCAAACAGG
rnacentral:rRNA from 1 species